rnacentral:lncRNA from 1 species
ACCAAAGAAGACUUGGUCUUUGGUUUGGUCUUUGAGUCUGGUAAGGCUCAGAAUCCUACUCAACUGAUGCAAUGGUCUUCCAAAUCUGAAAAAAUGGGGAGAGGGCGAGUUGCCUCCUUCUGAAGGCUGUUUCCAGCCAUGAUGGGGAUAGUGGCGCAUAUAUAUAUGAAUAAGUGCAAUCACAUCCAGUUUAGCCCUUUGUUAACUAUUUUCCUUGGUAACCUGGAUAAAGUCCCUCUACUUUGCUGUCAACCAGAAGUGAAGGUCUCAGUGAUGAGAUGGAAAAAGGAGCCAAGCUAACAACAUCUGCCCUGAUAAAAAUGGAGGCCAAAGAUGCAGAAGUGUCCAGGCUCUGCAGUUGAUGUUUUUGUCCCAGUUUAUUGGAAUCUGAUAGGUCAAGGACCUUUCCAAGACCACAAGUAUAAAGUGAACCCAUCAAGGUUGGGAAUUAAGUUCAGCUUGCUCAUCCACCAAGGAAUGUUCCUACCAGAAAAGACACUGACUUGGAAGAACCUACAAAGUAGGAAAUAUAUUACACUAGAGGGCAUGUUCUAUGACCUUGUGGUAAUAUUUUUCCCAUAAUAUUCUGAGGACACAAAAGUUGUUUUUUCACAAGAAAAAGUUAAGUAUUUCUGACAAGAUUCUAUGUGAUUGCUUACAUGUGAUUUUUAACAUGUCAAAUCCUCUCAUAAAGAUUCUCUUCAAAUAAAUAUGUUAAAUAUAAUAAGAAAUUUUCUAAG